UACGUAGGGUGCAAGCGUUGUCCGGAAUUAUUGGGCGUAAAGAGUUCGUAGGCGGUUUGUCGCGUCCGUUGUGAAAGCUUGGGGCUCAACCCCAAGUCUGCAGUGGAUACGGGCAGACUAGAGUGUGGUAGGGGAGACUGGAAUUCCUGGUGUAGCGGUGAAAUGCGCAGAUAUCAAGAGGAACACCAGUGGCGAAGGCGAGUCCCUGGACAACACCUGACACUGAGGCACGAAAGCUAGGGGAGCAAACGGG
rnacentral:rRNA from 1 species